rnacentral:rRNA from 1 species
UUCUGCCUAACACAUGCAAGUCGAACGGCAGCACAGGAGAGCUUGCUCUCUGGGUGGCGAGUGGCGGACGGGUGAGAAAUACAUCGGAAUCUACCUUUUCGUGGGGGAUAACGUAGGGAAACUUACGCUAAUACCGCAUACGACCUUCGGGUGAAAGUGGGGGACCUUCGGGCCUCACGCGAUUAGAUGAGCCGAUGUCGGAUUAGCUAGUUGGCGGGGUAAUGGCCCACCAAGGCGACGAUCCGUAGCUGGUCUGAGAGGAUGAUCAGCCACACUGGAACUGAGACACGGUCCAGACUCCUACGGGAGGCAGCAGUGGGGAAUAUUGGACAAUGGGCGCAAGCCUGAUCCAGCCAUACCGCGUGGGUGAAGAAGGCCUUCGGGUUGUAAAGCCCUUUUGUUGGGAAAGAAAUCCUAUCGAUUAAUACUCGGUGGGGAUGACGGUACCCAAAGAAUAAGCACCGGCUAACUUCGUGCCAGCAGCCGCGGUAAUACGAAGGGUGCAAGCGUUACUCGGAAUUACUGGGCGUAAAGCGUGCGUAGGUGGUGGUUUAAGUCUGUCGUGAAAGCCCUGGGCUCAACCUGGGAAUUGCGAUGGAUACUGGA